rnacentral:rRNA from 1 species
AUGUCCAAGUAUGAACACGCUUUGUACGGUGAAACUGCGAAUGGCUCAUUAUAUCAGUGAUCAUUUAUUUGAUGAUGCCUUACUACGUGGAUAACCGUGGUAAUUCUAGAGCUAAUACAUGCACACGACUCCCGACUCGCGAGGGAAGGGAGGUAUUUAUUAGGUAAGAACCAGCCCCGGCAACGGGAGCUCUGGUGAUUCAUGAUAACUGCACGAAUCGCACGGCCUUGCGCUGGCGAUGGAUCAUUCAAAUUUCUGCCCUAUCAACUUUUGAUGGUAGGAUAGAGGCCUACCAUGGUCGCAACGGGUAACGGGGAAUUAGGG